CAUAAUCUCUCAACUUUGCAGGCUUCUACCUCUCCGAAUAGUUCAAGUGUUAAUGUAGCUAGAACGUAGGAGUUAACUGUGUGUUAUCGAAAGUGCAAAUAAGAACAAGUUCAGAGGAAAGGGAAAAACAUGAGAAGCAAAAAUUCUUUUUUAACAAUCCAGUUGGGCUAUAUUUUUAGACUUUUCAUAGUAUCUUUCGUUGAAGUUGGAUGCUCUUACUGCUGGGCCUUUCUCCGUGUAGCUCCUUAAAUGUAACCACAGGUUUUUUAAAACCAACUGAAUAAGUUUAUAAAAAAUAUAGGGAGGGUAAAGGAUAUGCACUAGGAAGAGUCUAUAAAAAGAAUAUCCACUUUUAGAAAUAGGAGCGCGUAUGACUGAGCAGAUUAAUAUUUUAUUAUGUAUAUGUA